GGAAACUCAACGCUCGUGUCAUGCCAGUGUUGAAAUUUCUGUAAAAAAAUGUAGACUUAUUUUUAAAGAAACACUCCAAACCGGCCCUUUAAUUUUCUAUAAUGCAACUACUGCAUCAGCACUCUCCAAACUUAUAUCUGCGUGAUCUCAAUAUGAACAGCGUUGACAUUCGAAGCGCUUGCUCCCACAUCGAGGUGAAAGAGAAAAAAUCGUCCAACGCAUCUCUUCUACUGAUGAAUCCCGUUGCAAGCGGAGACAACAUGGCCGUAGACCUUGUACAGAAGAAGGAAGAAUUACCACCUAUCGUACCUUGCUGUGAGGGGAGAGAACUACAAAUAAACGAAGAAAUAGUCCGAAGUGGCCUAUCAGCGAUUUCAGUGAAACACGACAACGUCAUCCAUUGUAUGUCCAUGUCUUGCGCAUGUGAACGAAUGCAAUUACCACCAGGACUCGUUAAGCAUCGAAAUUCGUUCAGAUGUCUCCAUCGGCCUGACCUCAAGCGAGUUCCAUAUCUUCGACGCAUGGCCCCCGACGAUCUAGAAACACUGUUUCGUGGUUAUGCUGAAUUUCAUCUCAGAGCUACUCCUAAAAGCAACCGAAAAGAUCGUGACAGCGUAAGGAGUUUAGCGCCGGCAGAAAAUGUAUACAAAGAUAUGAGGGAUAAGGACGAUGGUACCGCCCUACGUCCAAUACCGGAGACAAGGUCAGGUGCUGAAGACGUACCAGCCGGUAUGAGACUGCAUGGGGCUAGAGCUCGACUGUACACCUCUGUACUUGCGGGAGGCACGGCUGGGGACCAGCCAGAAGCUGCAUGUACCAGCGAAUACUACGACACCACAGUUGAAGAAGACACUCUCCCAGAAGAUGAGAUUCAAUUGAACGAAGAACUCCAGAUCAUCUUGCCUCCAAGAUGUGAUGAUAUCACAGCAGAAUCUUGCAUAACCACCUCUGAACAUUAACUCAAGUUCACAUGAGUUUAAAAUCACGUUUCAAAUUUGCCAAGUUCGUUCGAAAGUCACGAAAAGCCAUAGUCAAAUUAUUUAUGUUCCUGGAUUGGAUGAUUUUUGACCACUUUUGAAGGAAUAAAAGAUGAUUUGAGUGAACAGUUAAUUGAACGUUUUCAUGAACUUAAUAUUUACAGAAAAAUGAAACAUGGUUAUGGGUUUCGCGAUAUAUACUAAAAAAUAUACUGCGAAAUUACGCCAUUCGAUGUUCCUACAUACUAAAUUUAAAGGGUAAUAAAAUUGUAACAAAAAAAUAUUUAAAAAAAUAGAAAUCCUUAAAAAUAAAUGUAACAAAUAAUGGCUGUAAAGAAUUUGUAACAAAUUUGCGAAUUUAAAAAUGAGUAAUGUAAAAAGUAAGCCAUUUUCAAAAUACCUUGUAGAAAACUCAUAUUUAAAUUCGCGGAAUACUCUGGUCCCAUACUCUAAACACACGAAGCGUUAAAAUAAUUAGUAAGAAUCUACAAGUUGAGAAAUGUCAUGGUUAAGUCAAGUUCCAUUCACAUCUCGAUUAACGGACUGGUUUGUGACCAAGAUGGCGGCGUUCGGCUUUAAAGCAGUGCUAUUACAGUGACAGGGACGAAAUUACUUAAUUCUUAAAACUUUAAAACUCAAAUAACGCUCCUUUAAAACCUAAGGCCAUUGAAGUUGUCAAUAAAUAUCAAUUUACAUAUUAACACAUAAUUUUUAUUGAUGCUAAUGUACUAGCAUAAUAAAGUAUUAACCUUUU